AUGGGCCCUUUGCUCCUGUCCCUCCUGCUCUUGGCCACUGCCUCAGGUGUCUGCUCCCAGGUUCAGCUACUCCAGCCAGGGGCAGCCCAGGAAAAGCCCUCAGGGACCCUGAGACUCACUUGUACAGUGUCUGGAUUCUCCCUCACCGCUAGUGGAUAUGGAGUAGGCUGGAUCCGACAGCCUCCAGGGAAAGCCCUGGAGUGGCUGUGUACUGUGUACUGGAAUGAUGAUAAAUAUUACCAGGACUCCCUGAAGUCCCGCCUGACCAUCUCCAGGGACACAUCCAAAAGCGAGGUGUAUUUGGAGCUGAGAGGUCUGGAAGCUGGAGACAGCAGCACCUACUACUGUGCUGGAGCACAGUGA